AUUGAACGCUGGCGGCAGGCUUAACACAUGCAAGUCGAGCGGGGGAAGGUAGCUUGCUACCGGACCUAGCGGCGGACGGGUGAGUAAUGCUUAGGAAUCUGCCUAUUAGUGGGGGACAACAUCUCGAAAGGGAUGCUAAUACCGCAUACGUCCUACGGGAGAAAGCAGGGGAUCUUCGGACCUUGCGCUAAUAGAUGAGCCUAAGUCGGAUUAGCUAGUUGGUGGGGUAAAGGCCUACCAAGGCGACGAUCUGUAGCGGGUCUGAGAGGAUGUUCCGCCACACUGGGACUGAACCACGGCCCAGACUCCUACGGGAGGCAGCAGGGGGGAAUAUUGGACAAUGGGGUGAACCCUGAUCCAGCCAUGCCGCGUGUGUGAAGAAGGCCUUAUGGUUGUAAAGCACUUUAAGCGAGGAGGAGGCUACUCUAGUUAAUACCUAGGGAUAGUGGACGUUACUCGCAGAAUAAGCACCGGCUAACUCUGUGCCAGCAGCCUCGGUAA
rnacentral:rRNA from 1 species